CGUGGGUAACCUGCCUUAUAGUGGGGGAGUAGCCUUUCGAAAGGAAGAUUAAUACGCAUAAGAUUGUAGUAUCGCAUGAUAUAGCAAUUAAAGGAAGCAAUCCGCUAUAAGAUGGACCCGCGUCGCAUUAGCUAGUUGGUGAGGUAAUGGCUCACCAAGGCGACGAUGCGUAGCCGACCUGAGAGGGUGAUCGGCCACAUUGGGACUGAGACACGGCCCAGACUCCUACGGGAGGCAGCAUG
rnacentral:rRNA from 1 species